rnacentral:rRNA from 1 species
AUUGAACGCUGGCGGCAUGCCUUACACAUGCAAGUCGAACGGCAGCACGGGAGCAAUCCUGGUGGCGAGUGGCGAACGGGUGAGUAAUAUAUCGGAACGUGCCCAGUCGUGGGGGAGAACGCAGCGAAAGCUGUGCUAAUAACGCAUACGAUCUAAGGAUGAAAGCGGGGGAUCGCAAGACCUCGCGCGAUUGGAGCGGCCGAUAUCAGAUUAGCUAGUUGGUGGGGUAAAGGGCCACCAAGGCGACGAUCUGUAGCUGGUCUGAGAGGACGACCAGCCACACUGGAGCGUAGACACGGUCCAAACUCCGACGGGAGGCAGCAGGGGGGAAUUGUGGACAAGGGGCGCAAGCCUGAGCCAGCAAUGCCGCGUGCCGGAUGAAGGCCUUCGGGUUGUAAACUGCUUUGGUACGGAACGAAACGGCCCUUUCUAAUACAGGGGUCUAAUGACGGUACCGUAAGAAUAAGCACCGGCUAACUACGUGCCAGCAGCCGCCGUAA